rnacentral:tRNA from 1 species
CUGCGGGACGGGACGGAACCUCUCCCAGCGCCGCUCGAAUCGGUGCACGCGGCCGAGCGUCCCGGCCUCCAGCAGACC